UAUUAUAAUAUAUUAUAAUUAUUUUUAUAAUUGAUUUUGACUUAGUGUUCCAAAGUGUAGUAUUAAAGCGGAGUGAGAACCCAUAAGUAAAAGGAGUCUUAUGUGUUCUGUGGUACUUUUUUUAAAUUUUUUUCAUCAAUUUUUUAAGCUGAGACGAAAAAUCAUAAACAUACAUUCCAUGCGCAAAAUUUUCACAGAAGGCCAAAUUCGAAAAUUGAUGGCUGCUGUUUCCAUGCUUCGGGACCUAGGGCGUAUAACACCCUGUACAAACCACUACCUCAUGUGUCGACAUUACAGCGUUUGUGUCGAAGAGUCGACUUUAUGCGACGAGCUGCUGAUCUGACCAUUGAUGAAAAGCUCUGUGUGCUGUCGACGAAAGGCAGUGGAGACUUUUGAGUACAACUCGAUGUCUGGCGUAGUCCGAAAACUCGCAAAACUAUGUGCAGAGGCAGAGCAACAUUUAAGGAUUUCCCGGUGUAAUUGGCGCAAUAGACUGUACCCAUGUACGUAUUAAAAAGCCAAAGCCAGAAGUAGAAAGCUGCUAUUUAAACAGAAAAGGUUAUCAUUCAAAAAAUGUACAGCUGGUUUGGGGGGCUGCACACGAUUCCAAUAUUUGGGAAGCCUCCAGAAUAAAUGUAUUAUUGCAAGAAAGAAAUGAAGCUGACAAGAAUAAUCAUUCUUGGCUAUUAGGGGAUACCCUUUAAGACCGUGGCUUUUAACACUAUAUAGAUCGGCGACUGAAAAUGGAAGGUGUUAUAACACAGUACAUGCACAAGCAAGAAAUUGUGUGGAGCGUUUAAAUGGAGUGUAUUUAGACUAAAAUCUAGAUUUAGCAAUUUAAAUUAAAGUUUGAUUUUAUUAAUAUAAUAAAUUCUAGUCUUUAAUCUAG